rnacentral:lncRNA from 1 species
GCCGCAUCUGUGGCAUAUGGAAGUUCCCAGGCUAAGGUUCAAAUAUGAACUGCAGCUGAGACCUCUGCCACAGCCACAGCAACACCAUAUCCAAGUCGCAUGUGUGACCUAUGCCACAGCUUGCGACAACACCAGAUCCUUAACCCACUGAUCGAGGCCAGGGAUUGAACCCUCAUCCUCACGGACACUAUAUUGGGAUCUUAAUCCAUUGAGUCACAAUAGGAACUCUGACCCCAUGGGAUUUUCUUGUUGUUGUUGUUUUUCAAAGACAAUUGCUUCUUCCUGGAUUGGUAUUGUGUGAGAGGGGUUCAGGGCUAAAAUGAAUAGAUCUCUAACCAAAGAUCUUAAUAGGGAUAAAAAUUACUUUUGACAAAUCCCACUCUAAAUCAUUGUAGUGGGCAACUCUGAGCACCAAAAACGAACAAGAGUUACAAUGUCUGAGGGCUUUGUCUCCUUUGUCAACAAGAAUAUGUGGUUUAGAGGUACAAGCCACCAACCAGUGACCCCCUGGAAGGCCACCACCAAGAGAGCUGCUUCCUGACUCCAGUUCUGGGUGACCCUGUCUGUGGCUUGCUGAGGAGUCUACUGAUGUUCUACCCUAACUCCCACCCUUGCUGCUGUUACUCCCCUGAGUAACAGAACCCUGAGUUUAUUUCAGGCAACAGUGUACCCAACUAAACAGGUCCCAGCCUUCCUUGCAGCUAAGUGUGGCCAUGUGGUUAGAGUCUGCCCAAUGAGGUAUAAGCUGAGAAGUUGUCAGUGGAUUCCAGAAAGUCUCAUUAAAAGGGAGGGGACCCUUUUACCUCUUUUCACUGCUCCUUCCUGUUGCCUGGAAUGAGGUGAUGGUUGCUGAGCUCAAGCAGCCAUCUUGGACUUAGAUGAUGCGAGGAGGAAAGCUUCCUGGUGGCAGAGUUCCCACUGGGGCUCAGCAGGUUCAAAACCCAAUGUAGUCUCUGUAAGGAUGCGGCUUCGAUGCCUGGCCUCACUCAGUGGGUUAAGGAUCUAGUGUUGCCACAAGCUGUAGCAUAGCUUGCAGAUGUGGCUUGAAUCUGAUAUUGCUGUGGCUGUAGCGCAGGCUGGCAGCUGCAGCUCUGAUUUGACCCCUAGCCCAGGAAUUUCCAUAUGCUGCAGGUGCAGCUGUAAAAAGAAAAAAAAAACAACCCAAAAAAACAAAAAACUUCUUGCUACUCUUUAAGGGUCUUUGUCAUCGUCAGCAGAUGCAGUUUCUAACUGAUAUGUGGAAGCUCACUGGGCCUCAUUUUGUGGAAGGGCAAAGGUGUCCACAGUUCCUCUAAGCCAACUGCUACUUCUGCUCUCUCUGGAAGAAUCAUCCUGCCCAAGAGGGCCCAAUUCUUUCACAACUUUC